rnacentral:rRNA from 1 species
GAGCAGAGACGAAAGUCGGCCAUAGUGACCCGGGGGCACCGCGUGGAAGGGCCCUCGCUCAACGGAUCAAAGGUACGCUAGGGAUAACAGGCUAAUGACUCCCAAGAGCUCUUAUCGACGGAGUCGUUUGGCACCUCGAUG